rnacentral:lncRNA from 1 species
GUGCCCCUCUGGAGGCAGCACUAGCCCCUCCUGCCUCAGGGAUGCUAUAUUCAGGGCCUGGUCUGUGGGGGCCAGGGCCCAUAACACGGGUGGGGGCCAGGCCAUGCAGGAGGGUACUGGGCAGGGCACGGCCACCUGAAGGACCCCAGCAGCUGCUGCUCCCACCCACCAGGUCCCGGGGACCCCGCCGACACUGUUAGCUGUCUCUGAGCUUCUGAGUGACUCUCACGUGAGCAUCUCACGCCCCACGUGGUGGAGCCGCCAGCACUGUCCCUCCAUGGCGCGUGACCCCAGCCCUUGGCACACAGGCAGCCACCCUGACCCAGCGCCCAGGGCCUGCUGCCAUCCCACUGUCCUUCCUCACUCCUGCUGGCCGGGGCCCACUCCUGACCCAUCGGUGUGCAUCCUCUGGAGAUCUGAGUGGUGGCACUGGGCGGGGGGUGUCUGCGGCCAGGACUGACAGUGCUUAGGGGGCCCCUUGUCCCCUUCGACCACACGGUCCGGCCAGCAGAUGUGCCCCAGCUGUGCUUCAGAGCUGGUGAGUGUGCAAGGGCAGCAGGGCCUGUGAGGCUGGAUUGAGGAUGUCACAGCUCCGGUGGGAAGGGAGGCGCCACGCUGCUCAUUUGUCAGUUGAAUGGACACUUUCUAGACUCUUCUCCGCAAACUGGUUUUUUUUUAAAGCACCGUUGUGAAGUCCUUGGAGAUUUUGCUCGUGGCAGCUGGAGUGCGAGGAGCUGCCUGGAGAUGAAGUGAUUGGCGGGCUCACCUGGCUCAGAUGUUCUGUCUUCAGAAAAUACUUAGACGGGUUUGAAUAUGUGUGCUGUGCAUUUGGAGUGCCUCUGAGUGGCUUCCGUCUGGGGACAGAUGUUCCGUCUUCAGAAAAUACUCAACGCUGGUUUGAAUAUGUGUGCUGUGCAUUCGGAGUGCCUCUGUGUGGCUUCCGUCUGGGAGCAGGCCGAGGGUGAAUCUCCUGGAUCGAUGUGCAGCGUCAUUUGGUAGAUUGAGUGUCCAGCCUUGCCACGCUGUAGGGCCGGUGUGAUCAUCCGUGGCUGCGUCAUUUGCUGAGCUGAUAAAAAUCCUCUGGAAACUUUCACGUUGCCUGCUGCCAAAUUACAUAGCUCAAAUCACCAAUUACUUUGUAUUGUGUAAUUAACAAAAUAUUAAUUUCCUAUCAGCCAGUGAGUCAGAAACCCAUCUUAAGCAUCGUUCUCUUUAGUACCAUCAG